AGGUGCGAUCAUACUAGUGUUAAUGCAUAGGAUCUCAUUAGAACUUCAUAGUUAAGUGUGUUUGGGAUAGAGUAGUACUAGGAUAGGUGAACUCCCGAGAAGUUCUAGUG
rnacentral:rRNA from 1 species